rnacentral:rRNA from 1 species
GCCCUUUUCCGGUUGAUCCUGCCGGAGGCCAUUGCUAUUGGGAUCCGAUUUAGCCAUGCUAGUUGCACGAGUUCAGACUCGUAGCGAAUAGCUCAGUAACACGUGGCCAAACUACCCUUCGGAGCACCAUACCCUCGGGAAACUGAGGCUAAUAGUGCAUCCCGCACUCACCCUGGAAUGGCGAGUGCGUCAAACGCUCCGGCGCCGAAGGAUGUGGCUGCGGCCGAUUAGGUAGACGGUGGGGUAACGGCCCACCGUGCCGAUAAUCGGUACGGGUCAUGAGAGUGAGAACCCGGAGACGGAAUCUGAGACAAGAUUCCGGGCCCUACGGGGCGCAGCAGGCGCGAAACCUUUACACUGCACGACAGUGCGAUAAGGGGAUCCCAAGUGCACAGGCAUAGAGCCUGUGCUUUUGUACACCGUAGGGAAGUGUACGAAUAAGGGCUGGGCAAGACCGGUGCCAGCCGCCGCGGUAAUACCGGCAGCCCGAGUGAUGGCCGAUCUUAUUGGGCCUAAAGCGUCCGUAGCUGGCCGCACAAGUCCAUCGGGAAAUCCACCCGCCCAACGGGUGGCCGUCCGGUGGAAACUGUGUGGCUUGGGACCGGAAGGCGCGACGGGUACGUCCGGGGUAGGAGUGAAAUCCCGUAAUCCUGGACGGACCGCCGAUGGCGAAAGCACGUCGCGAUAACGGAUCCGACAGUGAGGGACGAAAGCUAGGGUCUCGAACCGGAUUAGAUACCCGGGUAGUCCUAGCCGUAAACAACGCCUGCUAGGUGUGGCUCCCACUACGAGUGGGUGCUGUGCCGUAGGGAAGCCGCUAAGCA